CAACUACUCCCUCCAUCCCAAAAUUCUUGUCUUAGAUUUGUCUAGAUACAGAUGUAUCUAAUACUAAAACGUGACUUGAUACAUCCGUAUUUAGACAAAUCUAAGACAAGAAUUUUGGGACGGAGGGAGUAUAUA
rfam:Triticum aestivum genome assembly, contig: Triticum_aestivum_CS42_TGACv1_scaffold_392702_5AS